rnacentral:misc_RNA from 1 species
UACAGAGGGGGCUAGCGUUAUUCGGAAUUACUGGGCGUAAAGCGCGCGCAGGUGGUUUAGUAAGUUGGAAGUGAAAGCCCAAAGCUCAACUUUGGAAUCGCUUUCAAAACUAUUAAACUAGAGUAUAGUAGAGGGUGAUGGAAUUCCUAGUGUAGAGGUGAAAUUCUUAGAUAUUAGGAGGAACACCGAUGGCGAAAGCAGUCACCUGGGCUAAUACUGACACUGAGGCGCGAAAGCGUGGGGAGCAAACAGG